rnacentral:pre_miRNA from 1 species
UCCGGACCGCGGCCUCGGCUCUCCGUGUUCACAGCGGACCUUGAUUUAAUGUCACACAAUUAAGGCACGCGGUGAAUGCCAAGAGAGGGGCCGCCC